rnacentral:ncRNA from 2 species
UAUCUUUGUAAUCGUUUUGGUAAUCGGAUACAAUUUCAAAUCUCCGAUGUAAGGGAAUCCAGUGAGAUACUGGAGCUGUACCUGCAGCUGUAAAUCCUCAUUAUGUUAGUUGAAUUGCCGCAACACUGUGUAAAAAUAAACAUGGGAAGUUUUUCAACUAGAGGAAAGCCAGAAGACCUGCCAGAUAAUUAAGAAAACA